CCUACGGGUGGCUGCAGUGGGGAAUAUUGGACAAUGGGGGCAACCCUGAUCCAGCCAUGCCGCGUGUGUGAAGAAGGCCCUCGGGUUGUAAAGCACUUUCAGUGAGGAAGAACGCCUGGUGGUUAAUACCCAUCAGGAAAGACAUCACUCACAGAAGAAGCACCGGCUAACUCCGUGCCAGCAGCCGCGGUAAUACGGAGGGUGCGAGCGUUAAUCGGAAUUACUGGGCGUAAAGCGCGCGUAGGUGGCUUGAUAAGCCGGUUGUGAAAGCCCCGGGCUCAACCUGGGAACGGCAUCCGGAACUGUCAAGCUAGAGUGCAGGAGAGGAAGGUAGAAUUCCCGGUGUAGCGGUGAAAUGCGUAGAGAUCGGGAGGAAUACCAGUGGCGAAGGCGGCCUUCUGGACUGACACUGACACUGAGGUGCGAAAGCGUGGGUAGCACACAGGAUUAGAUACCCCUGUAGUC
rnacentral:rRNA from 1 species